CUACGGGAGGCUCCAGUGGGGAAUAUUGGACAAUGGGCGAAAGCCUGAUCCAGCAAUGCCGCGUGUGUGAAGAAGGCCUGCGGGUUGUAAAGCACUUUCAGUUGGGAAGAUGAUGACGUUACCAACAGAAGAAGCACCGGCUAAAUCCGUGCCAGCAGCCGCAGUAAUACGGAUGGUGCGAGCGUUAAUCGGAAUUACUGGGCGUAAAGCGCGCGUAGGCGGCUAAGUCAGUCAGAAGUGAAAGCCCCGGGCUCAACCUGGGAAUUGCUUUUGAUACUGCUUAGCUAGAGUUUGGUAGAGGAUAGUGAAAUUCCAGGUGUAGCGGUGAAAUGCGUAGAUAUCUGGAGGAACAUCAGUGGCGAAGGCGACUGUCUGGACCAAAACUGACGCUGAGGUGCGAAAGCGUGGGUAGCAAACAGGAUUAGAUACCCUAGUAGUC
rnacentral:rRNA from 1 species